CUACGGGCCGCAGCAGUAAGGAAUAUUGGUCAAUGGACGCAAGUCUGAACCAGCCAUGCCGCGUGAAGGAUUAAGGUCCUCUGGAUUGUAAACUUCUUUUAUAUGGGACGAAAAAAGGUCUUUCUAGACCCCUUGACGGUACCAUAUGAAUAAGCACCGGCUAACUCCGUGUCCAGCAGCCGCGGUAAUACGGAGGGUGCAAGCGUUAUCCGGAUUCACUGGGUUUAAAGGGUGCGUAGGCGGGUAGGUAAGUCAGUGGUGAAAUCCUGGAGCUCAACUCCAGAACUGCCAUUGAUACUAUCUAUCUUGAAUAUUGUGGAGGUAAGCAGAAUAUGUCAUGUAGCGGUGAAAUGCUUAGAUAUGACAUAGAACACCCAUUGCGAAGGCAGCUUACUACGCAUAUAUUGACGCUGAGGCACGAAAGCGUGGGGAUCAAACAGGAUUAGAUACCCUGGUAGUC
rnacentral:rRNA from 1 species